rnacentral:rRNA from 1 species
AGACAGCAGUCGCCACGGUAAUACAGAGGGUGCGAGCGUUAAUCGGAUUUACUGGGCGUAAAGCGUGUGUAGGCGGCUUCUUAAGUCGGAUGUUAAAUCCCUGAGCUUAACUUAGGAAUUGCAUUCGAUACUGGGAAGCUAGAGUAUGGGAGAGGAUAGUAGAAUUCUAGGUGUAGCGGUGAAAUGCGUAGAGAUCUGGAGGAAUACCAAUGGCGAAGGCAGCCAUCUGGCCUAAUACUGACGCUGAGAUACGAAAGCAUGGGGAGCAAACAGGAUUAGAUACCCCAGUAGUCCCUGUCUCUUAUAC